rnacentral:rRNA from 1 species
AUUGAACGCUGGCGGCAGGCCUAACACAUGCAAGUCGAGCGGAUGAAGGGAGCUUGCUCCUGGAUUCAGCGGCGGACGGGUGAGUAAUGCCUAGGAAUCUGCCUGGUAGUGGGGGAUAACGUCCGGAAACGGGCGCUAAUACCGCAUACGUCCUGAGGGAGAAAGUGGGGGAUCUUCGGACCUCACGCUCUCAGAUGAGCCUAGGUCGGAUUAGCUAGUUGGUGGGGUUAAGGGCUACCAAGGCGACGAUCCGUAACUGGCCUGAGAGGAUGAUCAGUCGCACUGGAAGUUAGACACGGUCCAGACGCCUACGGUAGGCAGCAGUGUGGAAUAUUGGACAAUGGGCGAAAGCCUUAUCCAGCCAGGCCGCGUGUGUGAAGAAGGUCUUCGGAUUGUAAAGCACUUUAAGUUGUGAGGAAGGGCAGUAAGUUAAGACCUUGCUGUUUUGACGGUACCAACAGAAUAAGCACCGGCUAACUUCGUG